rnacentral:rRNA from 1 species
UACGUAGGGUGCAAGCGUUGUCCGGAAUUAUUGGGCGUAAAGAGCUCGUAGGCGGUCUGUCGCGUCGGCUGUGAAAACCCGGAGCUCAACUCCGGGCCUGCAGUCGAUACGGGCAGACUGGAGUUCGGCAGGGGAGACUGGAAUUCCUGGUGUAGCGGUGAAAUGCGUAGAUAUCGUCAGGAAUGCCGGUGGUGAAGACGGGUGACUGGGCUGGUUCUGACACUGAGGCACGAAAGCGUGGGGAGCGAACGGG